rnacentral:rRNA from 1 species
UAACACAUGCAAGUCGAGGGGCAGCAUGGUCUUAGCUUGCUAAGGCCGAUGGCGACCGGCGCACGGGUGAGUAACACGUAUCCAACCUGCCGUCUACUCUUGGACAGCCUUCUGAAAGGAAGAUUAAUACAAGAUGGCAUCAUGAGUCCGCAUGUUCACAUGAUUAAAGGUAUUCCGGUAGACGAUGGGGAUGCGUUCCAUUAGAUAGUAGGUGGGGUAACGGCCCACCUAGUCUUCGAUGGAUAGGGGUUCUGAGAGGAAGGUCCCCCACAUUGGAACUGAGACACGGUCCAAACUCCUACGGGAGGCAGCAGUGAGGAAUAUUGGUCAAUGGGCGAGAGCCUGAACCAGCCAAGUAGCGUGAAGGAUGACUGCCCUAUGGGUUGUAAACUUCUUUUAUAAAGGAAUAAAGUCGGGUAUGGAUACCCGUUUGCAUGUACUUUAUGAAUAAGGAUCGGCUAACUCCGUGCCAGCAGCCGCGGUAAUACGGAGGAUCCGAGCGUUAUCCGGAUUUAUUGGGUUUAAAGGGAGCGUAGAUGGAUAUUUAAGUCAGUUGUGAAAGUUUGCGGCUCAACCGUAAAAUUGCAGUUGAUACUGGAUAUCUUGAGUGCAGUUGAGGCAGGCGGAAUUCGUGGUGUAGCGGUGAAAUGCUUAGAUAUCACGAAGAACUCCGAUUGCGAAGGCAGCCUGCUAAGCUGCAACUGACAUUGAGGCUCGAAAGUGUGGGUAUCAAACAGGAUUAGAUACCCUGGUAGUCCACACGGUAAACGAUGAAUACUCGCUGUUUGCGAUAUACUGCAAGCGGCCAAGCGAAAGCGUUAAGUAUUCCACCUGGGGAGUACGCCGGCAACGGUGAAACUCAAAGGAAUUGACGGGGGCCCGCACAAGCGGAGGAACAUGUGGUUUAAUUCGAUGAUACGCGAGGAACCUUACCCGGGCUUAAAUUGCAGAUGAAUUACGGUGAAAGCCGUAAGCCGCAAGGCAUCUGUGAAGGUGCUGCAUGGUUGUCGUCAGCUCGUGCCGUGAGGUGUCGGCUUAAGUGCCAUAACGAGCGCAACCCUUGUUGUCAGUUACUAACAGGUUUUACUGAGGACUCUGACAAGACUGCCAUCGUAAGAUGUGAGGAAGGUGGGGAUGACGUCAAAUCAGCACGGCCCUUACGUCCGGGGCUACACACGUGUUACAAUGGGGGGUACAGAGGGCCGCUACCACGCGAGUGGAUGCCAAUCCCCAAAACCUCUCUCAGUUCGGACUGGAGUCUGCAACCCGACUCCACGAAGCUGGAUUCGCUAGUAAUCGCGCAUCAGCCACGGCGCGGUGAAUACGUUCCCGGGCCUUGUACACACCGCCCGUCAAGCCAUGGGAGCCGGGGGUACCUGAAGUGCGUAACCGCGAGGAGCGCCCUAGGGUAAAACUGGUGACUGGGGCUAA